UGAGGAAUAUUGGUCAAUGGGCGAGAGCCUGAACCAGCCAAGUCGCGUGAAGGAAGACAGUCCUAAGGAUUGUAAACUUCUUUUAUACGGGAAUAACGGGCGAUACGAGUAUUGCAUUGAAUGUACCGUAAGAAUAAGCAUCGGCUAACUCCGUGCCAGCAGCCGCGGUAAUACGGAGGAUGCGAGCGUUAUCCGGAUUUAUUGGGUUUAAAGGGUGCGUAGGUUGUUCGGUAAGUCAGCGGUGAAACCUGAGCGCUCAACGUGCAGCCUGCCGUUGAAACUGCCGGGCUUGAGUUCAGUGGCGGCAGGCGGAAUUCGUGGUGUAGCGGUGAAAUGCAUAGAUAUCACGAGGAACUCCGAUUGCGAAGGCAGCUUGCCAUACUGCGACUGACACUGAAGCACGAAGGCGUGGGUAUCAAACAGG
rnacentral:rRNA from 1 species